rnacentral:rRNA from 1 species
AACGAACGCUGGCGGCAUGCCUAACACAUGCAAGUCGAACGAGACCUUCGGGUCUAGUGGCGCACGGGUGCGUAACGCGUGGGAACCUGCCCUUAGGUUCGGAAUAACUCCCCGAAAGGGGUGCUAAUACCGGAUAAUGUCUUCGGACCAAAGAUUUAUCGCCUUUGGAUGGGCCCGCGUUGGAUUAGCUAGUUGGUAGGGUAAAAGCCUACCAAGGCGACGAUCCAUAGCUGGUCUGAGAGGAUGAUCAGCCACACUGGGACUGAGACACGGCCCAGACUCCUACGGGAGGCAGCAGGGGGGAAUAUUGGACAAUGGGCGAAAGACUGAUCCAGCAAUGCCGCGUGAGUGAUGAAGGCCUUAGGGUUGUAAAGCUCUUUUACCCGGGAUGAUAAUGACAGUACCGGGAGAAUAAGCUCCGGCUAACUCCGUG